rnacentral:misc_RNA from 1 species
AUUUCCCAGUCGAAUGAACUAGGGAACAUAAAGUAGGCAUCUGUAGUGGGUAUCUACUUGGUGAAUAUGUUUUGUAAAUCCUGUCCACCCCCGUGGAUGGGUAGUCGGCAAAACGUCGGACUGUCAUAAGAAUUGAAACGCUGGCACACUGUUGGGUCCUGAGGCAACACGUUGUGUUGUCACCCUGCUUGGUGGUGGGGUGUGGACUUUGACUUC